rnacentral:tRNA from 1 species
GCUCCUAUAGCUCAGGGGUUAGAGCACAGUCCUUAUAAGACUGGGGUCGAUGGUUCAAUUCCAUCUAGGAGCA